rnacentral:misc_RNA from 1 species
GAUGUAAAAUAUUUCUGACCUCCAAUUGUCCCGUUACAUGGAUACCCAAGUUUGUUUCGAGCUUCGAGUUCUAUCAAAAGCAGAGGCGUGGAGUUUAUUUGUGACAGUGGUUGGUGAUGUCACAAAUCAGGCUUUGUGCUUUAUAGCAACUGAAGUAGUUAAAAAAUGUGCAGGUUUGCCCCCUUUAAUUGUUACAGUUGCAAAAGCUUUAAAAUAUAGGGACUUGAAGGAAUGGAAGGUUGCUUUGGAUGAGUUAUCUAUGGUUGAUAAUAAAGGAAUUCAGGCAAAAGUAUACUCAGCCCUGGAUUUGAGCUGCAAUCAUCUGGCCACUGAUGAACUUAAGUCAUUUUUCUUGCUUUGUGCUCAAAUUGCUCAGAGUGAUAUUCAAAUCGGGGACUUGCUGUUGUACAGUAUGGGUUUGGAUUUGC